rnacentral:rRNA from 1 species
GAAAGCAGUCGCCCGGGAAUACAGAGGGUGCGAGCGUUAAUCGGAUUUACUGGGCGUAAAGCGUGCGUAGGCGGCUUUUUAAGUCGGAUGUGAAAUCCCUGAGCUUAACUUAGGAAUUGCAUUCGAUACUGGGAAGCUAGAGUAUGGGAGAGGAUGGUAGAAUUCCAGGUGUAGCGGUGAAAUGCGUAGAGAUCUGGAGGAAUACCGAUGGCGAAGGCAGCCAUCUGGCCUAAUACUGACGCUGAGGUACGAAAGCAUGGGGAGCAAACAGGAUUAGAUACCCCCGUAGUCCCUGUCUCUUAUACC